GAAGUUCAGAGACAGUGUCCAGAGCCUGAGUUCAAGCCACAGAACUGGCACAAAAGAAUAAGAAAAGAAAGAAUAAUGUCUUUCCUUGUGUUCUCACAGACAACUAAGCAGACUUCAUUUUUUUUCCUGCAAUAUUUUUCUCGCAAAAGAGACCAGGCUGGCCUCAUGUUCUCAAUCCUCCUGCCGCAGACUCCCAUGUGAUAUGAUUGUAAACAUGUGCCACUCUGUCUAAUAUUUUCCACUAACUUCUCUGAUAAAACAAAGUGAAAUACUUAUUUAGCAUUUUGUAAAAAGUAAAUUUCUAA